GUCUGCUAUCAUUUACCUUAUGGAUUCCUGUAUAUGCAACCCUGCCCAUGCUGCAUAUUAGAAACUUCUGCUCAGCUUUUAGAAAAUACUGGUGUUCUGGCCAACUUCACUUAAGACCAGUUAAAUUUGAAUCUUGGUUGGCGUGGCUCUGGGCAUUGGCGUUUAUUAAAAGCUCCCCGGAAACUGAAAAAACAACCUGAAAGUUGGCAAAGAAAGGAUUCUGUGGUUUUUCUAAGUCUCUCAAGCCAGUGGACAGCCACAGCACUCAGCAUAAUUGGGCUGAUUACUCUGAGUGCAAACCUUUUCACUGUUCCAGAGAGGAGCCUGACAACCACAUUCUCCUUCUCAAGGUUUUGAAAGAGUUGCAAAAUUUAUCAAAUGCAAAUGUUGAUUCAAGGAAUGGAACUGACAGAUAGGUGGUCCAGUGACUUUGGCUCAACAUGCCUCAGAACCACGGUUGACUUAAGAAAUCCAGUGAUUCAGCACAGAGGAAACCAGCUAGCCGCAGUCACUGAGGGAAUGGGGUGCAGCCAGGCCAGCUCUGCCUGCUUGUCAUUACUUACCUUUCAUUUGAUCAAAAACAAUGCAAUUUACUCGCAGGUCCUGGCCCUACACAACAGAUAUAAGAGUUCGGACCGCCCAGCACACAAGGUCAGCAUGCUCCUCCUCUGUCACGCUCUCGCUAUAGCUGUUGUCCAGAUCAUUAUCUUCUCAGAAAGCUGGGCAUUUGCCAAGAACAUCAACUUCUAUAAUGUGAGGCCUCCUCUCGACCCUACACCAUUUCCAAAUAGCUUCAAGUGCUUUACUUGUGAAAAUGCAGGGGAUAAUUAUAACUGCAAUCGAUGGGCAGAAGACAAAUGGUGUCCACAAAAUACACAGUACUGUUUGACAGUUCAUCACUUCACCAGCCAUGGAAGAAGCACAUCCAUCACCAAAAAGUGUGCCUCCAGAAGUGAAUGUCAUUUUGUCGGUUGCCACCACAGCCGAGAUUCUGAACAUACGGAGUGUAGGUCUUGCUGUGAAGGAAUGAUCUGCAAUGUAGAAUUACCCACCAAUCACACCAAUGCAGUGUUUGCCGUAAUGCACGCUCAGAGAACAUCUGGCAGCAGUGCCCCCACACUCUACCUACCAGUGCUUGCCUGGGUCUUUGUGCUUCCAUUGCUGUGAUGCCACCAUUCCUAGGGGAGGCAGAGACCAGCCUCUAAAGCACAAGCCAAAAACUGUGUGAACGGUGAACUUUGGAGUGAAGAUCAAUCUUGCACUUGGUGAAGAGUGCACAUUGGACCUCAAGGCAAAAGCCAGUGGUUUGCUUGGAUAAAAUGUUCCCGCAUGAGGCCACAGGACUGAGGAUGGGAAUUUGGCAGGGCCUGAGAAGAUGGUCUGACUUCCAGCCUUCCUGGUCAAAGAGAGCUACGUUUGGGCAGUUCUGCAGAGAGGAUCCUGGCAACUAGUCCCACCUGACUAGGCCUUUAGCUGAAAGGAUUUCUUGACCUCCUUGACUGCCUCAGAGGCUGCCAGGUCAAACCCUCUUGUUUAUGUGAUUAGCUCAGAGCGUCUCUAUGAAAUCUAACCCUUCCCCUCAUGAGAAAGCAGUUUUCCCCACCAACAGCAUAGUCAAUGAGAAAGGCAACUGUACGAAGAAAACUUCCAGUUGAACUAAUAUGAAAUCUAUUUGCAAAUUGUGGGGGGAAAUAAAGCUUUUAAAUUAUACAAUGUAAA
rnacentral:sRNA from 1 species